rnacentral:rRNA from 1 species
UACGUAGGGUGCGAGCGUUAAUCGGAAUUACUGGGCGUAAAGCGUGCGCAGGCGGUUCGUUAUGUCCGAUGUGAAAGCCCUGGGCUCAACCUGGGAAUUGCAGUGGAUACUGGCAAGCUAGAGUGCGGUAGAGGAUGGUGGAAUUCCCGGUGUAGCGGUGAAAUGCGCAGAUAUCGGGAGGAACACCUAUGGCGAAGGCAGCUCGCUGGGACGUUACUGACGCUGAGACGCGAAAGCGUGGGGAGCAAACAGG